rnacentral:piRNA from 1 species
ACACCAGUGGUGGGACUGUUGAAC